UGAGGAAUAUUGGUCAAUGGACGAGAGUCUGAACCAGCCAAGUAGCGUGAAGGAUGACUGCCCUAUGGGUUGUAAACUUCUUUUAUAUGGGAAUAAAGUGAGCCACGUGUGGCUUUUUGUAUGUACCAUACGAAUAAGGAUCGGCUAACUCCGUGCCAGCAGCCGCGGUAAUACGGAGGAUCCGAGCGUUAUCCGGAUUUAUUGGGUUUAAAGGGAGCGUAGGCGGAUUAUUAAGUCAGUUGUGAAAGUUUGCGGCUCAACCGUAAAAUUGCAGUUGAUACUGGUAGUCUUGAGUGCAGCAGAGGUAGGCGGAAUUCGUGGUGUAGCGGUGAAAUGCUUAGAUAUCACGAAGAACUCCGAUUGCGAAGGCAGCUUACUGGACUGUAACUGACGCUGAUGCUCGAAAGUGUGGGUAUCAAACA
rnacentral:rRNA from 1 species